rnacentral:rRNA from 1 species
UACGAAGGGGGCUAGCGUUGUUCGGAAUUACUGGGCGUAAAGCGCGCGCAGGCGGCUAUCCAAGUCAGUGGUGAAAGCCCGGAGCUCAACUCCGGAACUGCCAUUGAAACUGUUUAGCUUGAGGAUGAGAGAGGUGAGUGGAAUUCCCAGUGUAGAGGUGAAAUGCGUAGAUAUCAGGAGGAACACCUGUGGUGUAGACAGCUUACUGGACCACUUCUGACGCUGAGACACGAAAGCGUGGGUAGCAAACAGG